UGUGAUUCUGUGAUUCUAUGUUUCUAUGAUAACAACACAGGAAAGCUCUCCCUCCUCUGUAUGUCACUGACACUUGAAUCUCUCUUCAUCAAAAGCAGCCUGAAGUAAGCACAGCAAUUGGAUAAUGGCAGAGUACAGCCGUCUUUGUGGUAGAUAAAGUGAUUUCUGGCUCUCAAAAAAAGACCCAUUUCCCACAUAAAUAAAAAAUAGCAAGAAUAAGUUGGAUGUUGCUCUGGCUCACAUCUGCUUCCAAGUUCUGCUCAGGUCAUGCAAAACAAACUGCCCAGCACGAGCAAAGAACCCCCACACUUCUGGCAGACCAGUUUUUGUCAGUCAUGUCUCAUGUGCUGUUCAUUAUCUGGAUGAGAUCAGCUGAUGAAGUGUUGAAACUGAGCUUUUCCACAGGUGGAUUCAUUUGUGACUGUGAGGGGAAUGUAAAUCUGUGACUUUAACUUUUGAUUGUGCCUACAAUAAUGGGCUUCAUAAAGUACGGUUCUGUC